rnacentral:rRNA from 1 species
CGUGAGAUGUUGGGUUAAGUCCCGCAACGAGCGCAACCCUUGUCACUAGUUGCUACGCAAGGGCACUCUAGUGAGACUGCCGGUGACAAACCGGAGGAAGGUGGGGAUGACGUCAAGUCCUCAUGGCCCUUAUGGGUAGGGCUUCACACGUCAUACAAUGGCGCAUACAGAGGGUUGCCAACCCGCGAGGGGGAGCCAAUCCCAGAAAGUGCGUCGUAGUCCGGAUUGUUCUCUGCAACUCGAGAGCA